rnacentral:rRNA from 1 species
UACGUAGGGUGCAAGCGUUGUCCGGAAUUAUUGGGCGUAAAGAGCGUGUAGGCGGCCCGAUUAGUCCGCUGUGAAAGUCCAGGGCUCAACCCUGGAAUGCCGGUGGAUACUGUCGGGCUAGAGUCCGGAAGGGGCGAGUGGAAUUCCUGGUGUAGCGGUGAAAUGCGCAGAUAUCAGGAGGAACACCAGUGGCGAAGGCGGGUCUCUGGGCGAGUACUGACGCUGGAGGAGCGAAAGCGUGGGGAGCGAACAGGAUAGAA